rnacentral:rRNA from 1 species
CGGACGGGUGAGUAAUGCUUGGGAAUCUGGCUUAUGGAGGGGGAUAACUACGGGAAACUGUAGCUAAUACCGCGUAGUAUCGGAAGAUGAAAGUGCGGGACCGUAAGGCCGCAUGCCAUGGGAUGAGCCCAAGUGGGAUUAGGUAGUUGGUGGGGUAAAGGCUACCAAGCCUGCGAUCUCUAGCUGGUCUGAGAGGAUGGCCAGCCACACUGGAACUGAGACACGGUCCAG